rnacentral:ncRNA from 1 species
GGACGUCUCCCGGCCCUCUCCCGUCCGCGGGUGGGGCGCCCGCCGGAGGAUAACCAAACUCUGAUUUAACGACGUUUCUUCUGAGUGACACAAGCAAAUAAUCAAAACUUUUAACAACGGAUCUCUUGGUUCUGGCAUCGAUGAAGAACGCAGCGAAAUGCGAUAAGUAAUGUGAAUUGCAGAAUUCAGUGAAUCAUCGAAUCUUUGAACGCACAUUGCGCCCGCCAGCAUUCUGGCGGGCAUGCCUGUUCGAGCGUCAUUUCAACCCUCAAGCUCUGCUUGGUGUUGGGGCUCUACGGUUGACGUAGGCCCUUAAAGGUAGUGGCGGACCCUCUCGGAGCCUCCUUUGCGUAGUAACAUUUCGUCUCGCAUUGGGAUUCGGAGGGACUCUAGCCGUAAAACCCCCAAUUUUACUAAGGUUGACCUCGGAUCAGGUAGGAAUACCCGCUGAACUUAAGCAUAUCAAAGCGGGGAAAGAAAAUU